rnacentral:rRNA from 1 species
UGGCUCAGGACGAACGCUGGCGGUAUGCUUAACACAUGCAAGUCGAACGAGAAGGAAGAGCUUGCUCUUCCUGAAAGUGGCGAACGGGUGAGUAACGCGUGGGUAACCUACCCUUUGGAAAGGAAUAGCCUCGGGAAACUGGGAGUAAUGCCUUAUAAGAUACGUUUGUCGCAUGGCAUUUGUAUUAAACGCUCCAGCGCCAUAGGAUGGACCCGCGUCCCAUUAGCUAGUUGGUGAGAUAACAGCUCACCAAGGCCACGAUGGGUAACCGGUCUGAGAGGGCGAACGGUCACACUGGAACUGAGACACGGUCCAGACUCCUACGGGAGGCAGCAGUGGGGAAUAUUGCGCAAUGGGGGCAACCCUGACGCAGCAAUACCGCGUGAGUGAAGAAGGUUUUCGGAUCGUAAAGCUCUGUUAUUGGGGAAGAAAAAAAGACGGUACCCAAGAAGAAAGUUCCGGCUAACUACGUGCCAGCAGCCGCGGUAAUACGUAGGGAACAAGCGUUGUCCGGAUUUACUGGGCGUAAAGGGCACGCAGGCGGUUUUUUAAGUCAGAUGUGAAAGGCCACAGCUCAACUGUGGACAUGCAUUUGAAACUGAAAGACUUGAGUAUUGGAGAGGCAAGUGGAAUUCCUAGUGUAGCGGUGAAAUGCGUAGAUAUUAGGAGGAACACCGGUGGCGAAGGCGGCUUGCUGGACAAAUACUGACGCUGA